UCUGAAAGAAACACCCACAGUUAACAGAUCAUGGACAUCUCAAGUAAAGGCAUCUCUUUUGGACACUCAAGCAAUCUUCUCUUGUUCCAUUGCUAUCUUAUUUUUAUAUUUCACCUUCUGCCUAAUCAAAUCCUUUAUGAUUGCAAAGGAAAGUAUGUUCCUGGGAAAGGAAACUUAGAAAUCAUAGGAAGAGUCGAAUCUGAAGAUGUUAAAGGUGCAGAUAUGGAGGCUUCCUCCUGUCUCUGAGGACUCCUUUGCCUGCUGUGUAUUAUGCCCUGAGGCAGAUGCCCACAGCCUGUCAGCUCCUUUGCUGUGGGACAGUUCGUGUACAUUGCUGGUGGACUUCUGAAGAUCACUCUCUGUAUACACUGUGAAUUCUGCUAUCUGUGAAACUGAAUAUUUGCAGAGGAGCCCCAGCUUUGGAAACUAGAUUCAGUGAAUAAGGAAACCGAGAACAUGGCUGGAAGGGGCCAGUGCAUGAAGCCUCCCUUCUCUGACCUGGUUUGGAUUAUCCUGAGGGAAACUCAGCAUUGAGGAGCAUCAUCUCCCUACUCGUCUGCAGAUCCCAGGGUUCAGGGUGACACAGUGAAUGUGCCCAGCAGUUUGAAUCUAUUGACACAAAUGUAUUGUAUGCUGUUAAAGGAGGGGGGGCGGUAUUUAUCAACACAUCGCCAUGGUACA